rnacentral:rRNA from 1 species
UACAGAGGUCCCAAGCGUUGUUCGGAUUCACUGGGCGUAAAGGGUGCGCAGGUGGUCGGGUAAGUCUGACGUGAAAUCCCGCAGCUUAACUGCGGAAUGGCAUUGGAUACUAUUCGGCUAGAGGGUUGGAGGGGGACUGGAAUUCUCGGUGUAGCAGUGAAAUGCGUAGAUAUCGAGAGGAACACCAGUGGCGAAGGCGAGUCCCUGGACAACUCCUGACGCUGAGGCACGAAAGCUAGGGAGCAAACAGG